CUACGUGCCAGCAGCCGCGGUAAUACGUAGGUCCCGAGCGUUGUCCGGAUUUAUUGGGCGUAAAGCGAGCGCAGGCGGUUAGAUAAGUCUGAAGUUAAAGGCUGUGGCUUAACCAUAGUACGCUUUGGAAACUGUUUAACUUGAGUGCAAGAGGGGAGAGUGGAAUUCCAUGUGUAGCGGUGAAAUGCGUAGAUAUAUGGAGGAACACCGGUGGCGAAAGCGGCUCUCUGGCUUGUAACUGACGCUGAGGCUCGAAAGCGUGGGGAGCAAACAGGAUUAGAUACCCUGGUAGUCCACGCCGUAAACGAUGAGUGCUAGGUGUUAGAUCCUUUCCGGGGUUUAGUGCCGCAGCUAACGCAUUAAGCACUCCGCCUGGGGAGUACGACCGCAAGGUUGAAACUCAAAGGAAUUGACGGGGGCCCGCACAAGCGGUGGAGUAUGUGGUUUAAUUCGACGCAACGCGAAGAACCUUACCAGGUCUUGACAU
rnacentral:rRNA from 1 species